CCUGACCCUCGGGGCAUUGUAGGGGUGGAUGUGUCACAUGUGCAUCAGUAGGUGGCAGAGAGGAGAGAGGCUGUGUCUACACUCAGGGUUCUGAUCUGUGAACACCAGAAUGAUUAGUACCCCAACAUU